rnacentral:rRNA from 1 species
GAUGAACGCUGGCGGCGUGCUUAACACAUGCAAGUCGAACGGACUUAUGAUGAAGCUUAGCGAUUUAUAAGUUAGUGGCGGACGGGUGAGUAACGCGUGGGUAACCUGCCUUAUACAGGGGGAUAACACUUAGAAAUAGGUGCUAAUACCGCAUAAGCGCACAGUAUCGCAUGAUACAGUGUGAAAAACUCCGGUGGUAUAAGAUGGACCCGCGUCUGAUUAGCUAGUUGGUGAGGUAACGGCUCACCAAGGCGACGAUCAGUAGCCGGCCUGAGAGGGUGAACGGCCACAUUGGGACUGAGACACGGCCCAAACUCCUACGGGAGGCAGCAGUGGGGAAUAUUGCACAAUGGGGGAAACCCUGAUGCAGCGACGCCGCGUGAGUGAAGAAGUAUUUCGGUAUGUAAAGCUCUAUCAGCAAGGAAGAAAAUGACGGUACUUGACUAAGAAGCCCCGGNUAACUACGUG